AAAACCCAGUUUCAAGUGGUCUGUUUUAUCACUGCUUCCUCUGCUCAGACCAAAACAAAGAGCCAAAAAACAAAACAGAGAAGAAGAAAACAAAUGGCGAUCAUCAAGAAGUCUUUGAAGACAAAUUCGGGUUCAUCGACACUACGAAGAACUCUGAAGAAUCGGAACAUGAAGGCGAGGAUUGCGAGAUUGAAGAAGGAGACGAAGGAGAUUGAAAUGGAAUAGAAAGACAUAGCAAAGGGUCACAGAGAAAUAGCUAAAAAGCUUGAGUUGAUCAAAACCAGUCAUGCCCAGAUGAAGAAAGAAAUUCAGGUAUUAAACGAAGGGAGUGCACACUUGCGAUGUAGAAUCAAUAUCAUGUUCAAAAUCUUGAAAGCGAGAAAACUUGGCGAUUCCAUUGAAGAAGAGAAGCUUGUUCAGUCACUCCUCGCCAUUACUCCUCGAAACUAAGGGGUUGGAGAUGUUAUUCACAAAAAUAAGUGGAGUUAAGAGUGAAUCAAAUUAACAUGUAAAUACAUCUAUGCAUGGAAGUUUUACUUAUAUGUAGUAGUAACCUUUGUUCAAAGUAUACAGUGAAUUUGAUUUUUCUUAGU